UACGUAGGGGGCUAGCGUUGUCCGGAAUCAUUGGGCGCAAAGCGCGUGUAGGCGGUCCGGUAAGUCCGCUGUGAAAGUCGGGGGCUCAACCCUCGGAUGCCGGUGGAUACUGUCGGGCUUGAGUACGGAAGAGGCGAGUGGAAUUCCUGGUGUAGCGGUGAAAUGCGCAGAUAUCAGGAGGAACACCAAUUGCGAAGGCAGCUCGCUGGGACGUUACUGACGCUGAGACGCGAAAGCGUGGGGAGCAAACAGG
rnacentral:rRNA from 1 species